UCAGCAUUUUGCUUCCCUUCGAAAGCAGCGCCCGAGCCUUUCCCGCCAGCAGCGCCACCUGACCUUGGGAGGGUCAGGAGGAAAUGAGUCCACAGCUGUGAAAAUCACCUCCUCCCAGCAGGGCCCAGCAUCCGGCUCCCAAGUCCCAGAACUCCAGCGCCACGUUCCUGCCGCCUGAUGUUUAGGUCACGAUUGCUCCUGGGGAGGGUGGAAGAAAGAUAACUCCUUUCCUCUUCUCCCUGGAAUUCCUUCCGGGCGGGGCCACUUGCCCUUAAGGCCUGAAAGACCUUGCCUUGGAAUGACAAAGGACAUCUGAAGGCCGCCAGCCGCCGUGAGUGCCGGGCCCUGUACUCCCACCGAGCCUUCCCUUCCUGCUCCCACCGAAUAGGAGGGGAUUUGGGAGACAGGGCACGCCUCGUGUUGGGAGAAAUAACUUGCUCUGGCUGCUCCAUCUGCGUGGGAUUGAGCCUUUGCUAAGGAACCGCGUCUGUUGCCUGACUGUUAAAGAAAGAGAGACUGGUGGGGGUGCGAAAGCCGGUGUCAGGAGAAUAGCUACCCACAGGCUGCUCUUGUGAUUCUCCUCUGCUGGUACGGGGCUGAGAGGGCCCCAGAGGGGGGCGAGGUUCUCCCGGGUUCCCCGAUUACUUGCGAAUUUCCCUAGGCCUGUUGCUGCGAGGACUGGCUCCUUACCAACCUCGCCUGUUGUGCUUUGGGGCCGACUGCAGGUUUCCACGACUUUUCUAACUUUCUGAAGGUUGGAAGAUUUUUAUCUGAUCCAUAUCACCGAUACAACAAGGUCAGAAAACAUAGGUUCUGUGUGUGCCCACAUGGGGGCUCUGAAUGAGGCAACCCAGAGGCGACUGCUCCGCGAGGGAGGGUACCUGUCUCUCCUCCUUCACCAGCAAAAGUCAUUAGGGACUCAGCAUUCUUUGGAGCCUUUGAUUCCCAUGCUCAGCGAUGACAAUGAUUUUCCUCAGCCUAAAAUAAGCGGACAGGCAAUAGAGCUCCCCCCCCCCCCCCGCAAAAAGGCUCCCCGAAGCUUCUGGGGGAAGGUCACGGGUGCGGUCAGCUGCCUGCGCCCUCUUUGGCCGUCCCCAGGCCAGGCACUGGUCUUGUAGGGGGCCAGGAGAGCUGGAUAACAACCGAAUCACGGCCUUAGGAGGCACUCGACCCCAGCUGCCCAGGAGCAAAAGAUCUGGAAUGAUCCCAGUCGUGCUCCCCUUGGGCCACUCUGGGCUCUGAAAGCCGGGUCCUUCCCAUGGUUAGUGUGCAGGUAGACCCCAUGACGCAGAGCAGUGGGCUGAGGGAUCCUGGCAGAGGAGUCAUUGCUCUUUCUCGCUGGUUUGGAAAGGGCUGCCCUGCCAGGGCUCGUGGAACCCCGAGAAGGCCGCCCAGGAGCAAAGUGAGGGAGGCAGGGAAUGGGGGCAUCCCUCCCCCCCCGGCAGCUUAUAAACCGGUGGAAGCCUGCGGGGACCGAAGAGACGCCCCCAGCACUGAGCCCCAGCGGGCGCUCCCUGACCCCAGGGACCUGGCUGGUGCUGGAGAGGGAGGAAGUCUGAGCAGCACGGGCUGAGCCAUUGACUACAGCUCUGGCAUCUUUCCCAGAGCCUCUGAAGUCCGGCACCAGGCUCCCCACCCAGUCCUUCCUAGAGGGCAGCCCUGGCCGUGUCCUUCACCUUGAACUUCAGCGGGCCGGUUACCACUAGAAUAUCCCUUUUUAUGUCCUUUGGGGCGUGUGUCCUGUGACCUCUAACAAUAAUUAUAAUUAAAAAUACAGUGAGUUUCA